CCUACGGGUGGCUGCAGUGAGGAAUAUUGGUCAAUGGACGAGAGUCUGAACCAGCAAAGUAGCGUGAAGGAUGACUGCCCUAUGGGUUGUAAACUUCUUUUAUAAAGGAAUACAACGAGGCACGUGUGCCUUUUUGCAUGUACUUUAUGAAUAAGGAUCGGCUAACGCCGUUCCAGCAGCCGCGGUAAUACGGAGGAUCCGAGCGUUAUCAGGUUUUAUUGGGUGUAAAGGGAGCGUAGAUGGGUUGUUGAGUCAGUUGUGAAAGUUUGCGGCUCAACCGUACAAUUGCAAUUGAUACUGGCAGUCUUGAGUACAGUUGAGGUAGGCGGAAUUCGUGGUGUAGCGGUGAAAUGCUUAGAUAUCACGAAGAACCACGAUUGCGGAGGCAGCUUACUAAACUGUGACUGACAUUGAUGCUCGAAAGUGUGGGGAGCAAAUAGGAUUAGAUACCCCAGUAGUC
rnacentral:rRNA from 1 species